UCCUAUCCGCUCACGCAGUGAAGCCAUUGAUCAUGUGGGCGUAUCUCAGGAUGACCAGGUCCAGCCAGCCACAGCGACGUUUCCUGCCCGUUGUCACGCCCACCUCAUGACCUCUCGUCUGCAGCAGCUCACCUGUUGGCUGCACAAAACAGACUCAGUUAUCUUGUGACAAGAGAUGAAAAGAAUCUGCCCACUCCAUCAAGCAAUGGGGACCACAACACAGGACAUUCACGGGACCUCAUGGAACCACGGACCGCGCCUGCAGAAACUGGACAACGGGGGGAAGCAGAGGAGAUACCUAUCAUAGACUUCUCCCAGCUGACGCUUGACAUACCCCCUACGCCGCCUCCAGUGGUAGAAACAACCAGCUGGUAUGAUUGAGUAGAAUCAGCCAACAGUAACACGGAAGCAGCAAUAUGAGAGUCAGUAGUGCAUGACCUUAAAUGGUAAUAAUAGGAAGCUUCCGUUUAACACACAGGCCUAAGAUUACGUAGGUCUACAGCACCAGUUGGAACUUCCCCUUUAAAAAGAUAUAUAAAGAGAACAGAGAUCAUAAGACAGCAUGAUCCUCGUUAACAUGUGAGACAGACUUCAUAUGGAGGAUCAUCACAGGUAAAUUUACUAUUGCACUAUACGCUUUUUGUUAGACUAUAACAAUAUUAGAAAAUUGGAUUAUUUUGUCUAUGUACUUAUUGGAUCACUAUCUGAAUAUACUUGGUUGAACUUGGUGACCCCGAGACUGAGUCUAAGAAAAACAGAGGUCUAACCACCUCUUGAAUACAGACAAAGUGGCGGUCACUCAGUGAGACAUCAGGUACAGAUGUGAUUGGCAAUACAAGGAAACAGCAAAAUACCAGUUACAAUAUAUUGAGUCUAUACACAGAGUUGUAAGUUACUAGUAUUAGGAUAUACGCUUUUUGUUGGACUAGAACAAUAUUAGAGAAUUGGAUUAUUUUGCCUAUAUACUUAUUGGAUCACGAUCUGAAUAUACUUGGUUGAACUUGGUGACCCCGAGACUGAGUCUAAGAAAAACAGAGGUCUAACCACCUCUUGAAUAAAGACAAAGUGUCGGUCACUCAGUGAGACAUCAGGUACAGAUGUGAUUGGCAAUACAAGGAAACAGCAAAAUACCAGUUACAAUAUAUUGAGUCCAUACACAGAGUUGAAAGUGUAUAGAGAUACUGGAAUUCGGAAUCUAGCGUCAUAGCCGUAAGAAUACCGAUUACGGGAAAGUGACCAAGGGACUGAGCAUUUAAGGGUUUCAGAUGCAGAGGCAGGCAGAGCUUUGGACACUGAUGAGAGCAGAUCUUCAGAGUCCACUCCAUCGGGCACAUCGUACGCCGGUCCACUUUCUGCAGCACUGACCAUAGGUCAUCUGUCCCAAAGAUGAUGGCGUUGAUGACACUGAGGAGGGUGACCAUGUAGGGCACGUUGUCUGUGGCCUGCAGCUCGUUCAUGAUCACACUGAAGCGAUACUGCUGGGUCUUCACACCCUGGGAGCCAAAGUAACGCAUGAGUCAUUCUUCCUAGGUGCUGUCGAACCUUGGGAGAGUUUGCGGAUGUAGCCCUCAUUCUCCACGAUAAAGUUGAUCCCAGACGAGGAGUUCAUGACGGCCCGGACACAGCUGACACAGGUGAGCUGCAGGAGGGCAUCUGCGAUGCGGGAGCAGCCCCUCCCAGACAGACUGUCCAGGGCCUCCAGCAGCAGGUCCAGCCCACUCAGCUCCAGGAACUGGACCAUCCAGGACUCCUCGCUGCCCUCCAGACGACGCUUCAGCCCAGAGUAGUUGACCACACUGGGCACCUGGAGCAUGAGGAUGCACAGCUCUGGGUCUGCACUCUCCAGGUUGGCCUCCAGCUGGGUGUCUGAGUCCUGGGAGGAGCCCAGAUGGCCCCUCACUGUCGCCCACUUCCUCUUCCCAUCCGACUUCACUGACAUGGCGAUGGAAAGGGUCUGUGGAGGGAAGUUAAGGUAGUUUAAUUAAUGAAUUGACAUGGUGAUGGGCAGAGGGUUUGUGGAGGGAAGGGAACGAGGUUCAAUUCAGUGUCGUGGUGAGACUUUUGGUUUGCUGGACUGCAGUUUUGUUUGAUAGAGUCUAAUGUAAACAUACAUCUGUUUUCUAUAAAGUGCUGAAAGUGGUGGAGAGUUCAAUAUAUUUUGAUGGUCAAAAUGUUAUUGGGAUGUUUUUUUUGCAAACAAACCAUAUACUAUUUGACCUGCAGAUGGGCCUUUGCAUAAAUAUAUCCUGGCUAAAGGAUUCAUGCCUUUAUCACAACAUAGCACAUUCAUAGGAAAUGACAGCUCUGCACAUUGGGGGACAAGUGAAAGAUAUGUCAGCAGUCCUGUCAUUACUAGUCCUGCCAAACAUUCAAACAUAAUCCUGUAGUAAAAGGGAAGGGACUCGCUGUCAGCUAAUCAACAUCAAACACAAAGACAGGCACAUGACGCUCAGUGUAUCUUUAUGGGAGAUAUAUUAUAUUCUGUGUAUAUACUUUAUUUUCAAUUACAUCCAACUGUGAACAAGAUUUUGAGUAGAGUUGCAAAGGGAGGGUAUAUUACUGGAGACUUGAGAAGUUUACCAGUAAACCACCAGCAUUUUUGGUAUCUUUUUGGUAUCUUUGUAUGUGAUCUAUCUGUAAGACAUCUGGCGGCCCUAUUGGGAUUAUUACAGGUGUCUGUAAUUAUCUCUGGCCCUUUGUUGGGACUCAUCAUGUGUAAAAUAUAUUAAAUUAAAAUAAAAAAUGGAAUGACAAAGCUGUAAAACAUGAUCCCAAAUAUAAACCCUCACCUUAGUGAAUACCAUUGGUGUUUAAUGUGAAGGUUUCAGAAUUUUACUAUGUCAAUAUGUAUUUGUUGUAAAUGUUUUGGCAUCAAACUGGUGGGGGCUGAGAAAAAAAGUAAAUAGUUGGAAGAGUUGCAGAGUUCAUUGAAAAUUAUACCAUUGUUGAUUAGAAGCUUUGAUCAUUAAUUUGUCUAUUUUCUCUUGAACCAUAUGGUCUAUCUACUAGAAACUCGUGGACAAUAUGGACACAGAUAUAAAAAAUGAAUACCAUAUUAAAAGGGUUUCAAGUAUAAAUGACCAAAGUUACGAUAGAUUUAGCUUUAGCAAAUUACCAGUAGCUUUGCAAACCUAGUUUUGAGUAAUAUGCUGCAAAACAAAAGUAUCAUUGUG